UACGUAGGGGGCGAGCGUUGUCCGGAAUUAUUGGGCGUAAAGAGCUCGUAGGCGGUGUGUCGCGUCGGCCGUGAAAACCUGCAGCUUAACUGUGGGCUUGCGGUCGAUACGGGCAUCACUGGAGUUCGGCAGGGGAGACUGGAAUUCCUGGUGUAGCGGUGAAAUGCGCAGAUAUCAGGAGGAACACCGGUGGCGAAGGCGGGUCUCUGGGCCGGAACUGACGCUGAGGAGCGAAAGCGUGGGGAGCGAACAGG
rnacentral:rRNA from 1 species